CCUGAACGCUGGCGGCGUGGCUAAGACAUGCAAGUCGUACGGAUGUAGCAAUACAUCAGUGGCGAACGGGAGAGUAAUGAAUCGCUAAUGUGCCCCGGACUCUGGGAUAGCUACCCGAAAGGGUAGGUAAUACCAGAUGACAUAACCUUGUCGCAUGACAAGGUUCUCAAAGGUCCGCCGGUCUGGGAGCAGGCGAUUUCGUAUCAGCUAGUUGGUGAGGAACUGCUCACCAAGGCGACGACGCGUAGCCGGACUGAGAGGUUGGCCGGCCUCAUUGGGACUGAGACACUGCCCAGACUCCUACGGGGGGCU
rnacentral:rRNA from 1 species